ensembl:lncRNA
CAACAUUCAUUUCCCUCCUAUCACUCAGCUAGCAGCCCAGCACAAGUGAAUGCAAGCAGCCAGUGCUGGGAGACCAAGGUCUACACAUCUGAAUAGAGAGACUCCUGAUACUCAAAGGAGGGUCCAGCCACAAGGUGGAAGGAUCUUGGGUCCAUAGAUGACUGCACAGAGCAGAGCUCCCACUCUUAACCUGAAUCACAUAACCCUUUUCAGGAUAGGAAAGUGCAAUUCUACUAAGCACCCAGAAUGAGAAUUUUUAUAUUUGUGAUCAGCUUUGAUGACUCUGCCAGUUCCAAUAUAAGUUUUUCCAUGAAUGCUUGCCCACUAGCAUUUGAUGUGACUCAUUUAAAAUUAAAAAUCCUGAGGGUAACAUCCCACUGGCCAAGGGUAAGUUCAUGCGUAGUGCUCCAUUAAGGAGGUACAUGAGGGAGGACACAGGAUAGUCAAU